AGCGAACGCUGGCGGCAGGCCUAACACAUGCAAGUCGAACGAACUCUUCGGAGUUAGUGGCGGACGGGUGAGUAACACGUGGGAACGUGCCUUUAGGUUCGGAAUAACUCAGGGAAACUUGUGCUAAUACCGAAUGUGCCCUUCGGGGGAAAGAUUUAUCGCCUUUAGAGCGGCCCGCGUCUGAUUAGCUAGUUGGUGAGGUAACGGCUCACCAAGGCGACGAUCAGUAGCUGGUCUGAGAGGAUGACCAGCCACACUGGGACUGAGACACGGCCCAGACUCCUACGGGAGGCAGCAGUGGGGAAUCUUGCGCAACGGGCGAAAGCCUGACGCAGCCAUGCCGCGUGAAUGAUGAAGGUCUUAGGAUUGUAAAAUUCUUUCACCGGGGACGAUAAUGACGGUACCCGGAGAAGAAGCCCCGGCUAACUUCGUGCCAGCAGCCGCGGUAAUAC
rnacentral:rRNA from 1 species